rnacentral:rRNA from 1 species
CGCCAGACUCCUACGGGAGGCAGCAGUGGGGAAUAUUGCACAAUGGGGGAAACCCUGAUGCAGCGACGCCGCGUGAGUGAAGAAGUAUUUCGGUAUGUAAAGCUCUAUCAGCAGGGAAGAAAAUGACGGUACCUGACUAAGAAGCCCCGGCUAACUACGUGCCAGCAGCCGCGGUAAUACGUAGGGGGCAAGCGUUAUCCGGAUUUACUGGGUGUAAAGGGAGCGUAGACGGCCAUGCAAGUCUGAUGUGAAAACCCGGGGCUCAACCCCGGGACUGCAUUGGAAACUGUGUAACUUGAGUGCAGGAGAGGUAAGCGGAAUUCCUAGUGUAGCGGUGAAAUGCGUAGAUAUUAGGAGGAACACCAGUGGCGAAGGCGGCUUACUGGACUGUAACUGACGUUGAGGCUCGAAAGCGUGGGGAGCAAACAGGAUUAGAUACCCCAGUA